rnacentral:rRNA from 1 species
AACUUUCAACAACGGAUCUCUUGGCUCUCGCAUCGAUGAAGAACGCAGCGAAAUGCGAUAAGUAAUGUGAAUUGCAGAAUUCAGUGAAUCAUCGAAUCUUUGAACGCACCUUGCGCCCCUUGGUAUUCCGAGGGGCAUGCCUGUUUGAGUGYCA